rnacentral:lncRNA from 1 species
GAGAGAGAUGCUUUAGAGUGUCAACUUGUUUUCAGAAAGGGUGUGGAAAUCUGGUUUGCAGUUCACUUUAAAAGUUACUUCUUUGUGACAACCUUGGGUCUCGAAUGCAAAGCAAGCUUCUUUCUUGCAACGUGUCAGUUUGCUAAACUCCAUAAGAUUUGUUUUUCCAGAUCUCAGCCCUUUGCCUCUCAUGCUAUUUGAUCCAAGAACAUCAGAAAAAUAUUAUAUCGAACUAGCAGUGGGACAUCUUGAAGCACAGCACAGUGUAACGUUGAGAACAAAGACAGGGUGUAAGGCGUGAUGAUCUUUCCUUUCUCCAUGCAUUAUCCAUGACUAUCUAGUGAUAGUCACUCAGGGUAGGGGAACCGAGAGGAACUCUGUAACUGCUGCCUGGAGCACCACACACAUUGGAUGCCCAGUCUGUGGUCCCUUACUGCACCACCACUUUGGAUGCUAUUCUAAAGCUGAGCAGUAUAGUAGGAUCCCCUGGAAGUCAGUGCUGGCAGAGAGCCAUGAGAGCAGGCUUACAGCACAGUCCCUCUCAGUCCGGAAUACUAAAGACGGAGCAUGCUGCUUAUCCUCUUAGCUUUCAGUGAAGCCUCAGAUAAACCAGAAUAGCUUAUGGCCCAUUAGGAUGCAGGUGGUAUAGGAUGCUAAGCACCUCAUCACUGUGGCUAAGUACCCAGGAGCAAAAUCAUGAUUUAUACAUUUUCCAGUCUUCUUUGUCUAGAAUUUUGAAGACUGGGGCUCUGCAGAGACUGGCUGGUGAAAAGCGCAGAAGCUGACACCAUGUUUGGAUACCCUCCAGUGUUCAGUUGCAUGUCCAGCCCAUCAUAUUCUCCAGUGCAGGCUCUUGCUGGAGCUGCUGGGAAUAUUCACUGUAAAGGACACAGAAACGAUCUCCUUCCUACACUCGAGAAGAAAUUAUUCCACAUCCCAUAGAACAGGUAAAAGUCAGAGUUAUAUUAUAUUGUGUCCUGCCCCUGGGUUGCUAGCCCACCAAUGGCCCAAAGCCAAAAGUGGUGUCUGUAAUGGUAAAACGUGCGAAUGUUCCUCCUGUAGAGGCAUCGCUUGUCAAGGAGAUAACAUCCUGCUUUAAGAAAGUGAGAGCAGCUUGCGGAAGAC